ACUGACAGGGGCGCUCACAGAAGUGGGCUGAGAGUCGGAUGUUUUUCCGUAACCCAUAACCUGAUUUGGAUAAUGCCAACGUAGGGAUGAACAGACUU
rnacentral:ncRNA from 1 species